CUUUCGUCUCCUUUUCCUUCUUCCUGAUCCACCAUCUCCUCUCCCCUUUCUCACACGCACAUCGCCGACAUCAUUGAUGCGUAGGCUGCUAUGACCCUUAGGUGUCGACACCGUUCUGCUAAUAGUUGCGAGCUCAUCUCCACUAUGAUAAAAUGUCGUGCCACCUUGCUUGAUUACUGCCGCCUGAUUGUCAGACAUUAGCCAUUGUGUGCCAUCACCCAUAUCGAUGCUGUCAUGCCCAACCGACCGACUACUUCAUUAGUGUUGAUCUCAGCCACCAUCUGCUCUUCAUCUUCUGUGCAUGGGAGAAAUAGCGGCAACCACACUCUCGACUGCUGAGUUUCCUUUCCACACGAUGUUGACGCUGUCAUCUAUCAUGUGAAUGCUGGUCUCACCGUGUAUUCCUUGAUCUAUGCCGAGUUUUCCUUUCUCUCGCGUUAUUGUGAUGCCCUGAUUCAUUGAUGCUACUAAUCAGUGUCGCCAUCACCGAGAGAAGGAGAAUCGAUGAAGGGAUUGAGGGCAAUCCUUUCCCCUUUCUCGUGGAGUCGAGAAGAGCUGCGGAUCUUGCAUCAGAGAAGUUCACCGCCUCUUCCUCUUCACUGGAUCUUGCAUCAAGGAGGUCAACCGUUGGUAGCUAGCUGUAGCCAUCGAACCCUCCACUUCGGCUAACCCUCUACCUCUAGGGUUAGUGCGGGACCUCUCGCCUUGCUUCAAUGUGAAGCUCCUGUCCAGAAUUUCCCAAAUUGCCUUGUACCAGCCAAGCAAGAAUGAUUCGACCAGAAGGUGAGGAUCAAUUGGGGGGAAACAACUUCAUUGUAGUUCCAUCCACAAAGUUUCAGCAGCAAGUGUCCCUUCGGCCAUAAUUCCUGGCAACAAGACCCUCGGCUGUGAGUCAACAGAGGAGACUCUCACAUUGGGACUUUGAUUCAAGAGAAGUGUCUCGAUAUGGGAUUGUUUAGCACAAUCUACAGUUAAAGG